CCUACGGGUGGCAGCAGUGGGGAAUAUUGGACAAUGGGGGCAACCCUGAUCCAGCCAUGCCGCGUGUGUGAAGAAGGCCCUCGGGUUGUAAAGCACUUUCAGUGAGGAAGAACGCCUGGUGGUUAAUACCCAUCAGGAAAGACAUCACUCACAGAAGAAGCACCGGCUAACUCCGUGCCAGCAGCCGCGGUAAUACGGAGGGUGCGAGCGUUAAUCGGAAUUACUGGGCGUAAAGCGCGCGUAGGUGGCUUGAUAAGCCGGUUGUGAAAGCCCCGGGCUCAACCUGGGAACGGCAUCCGGAACUGUCAAGCUAGAGUGCAGGAGAGGAAGGUAGAAUUCCCGGUGUAGCGGUGAAAUGCGUAGAGAUCGGGAGGAAUACCAGUGGCGAAGGCGGCCUUCUGGACUGACACUGACACUGAGGUGCGAAAGCGUGGGUAGCAAACAGGAUUAGAUAUCCGAGUAGUC
rnacentral:rRNA from 1 species